CUUGUAUUUACUUCUGUGCCCCCGUAGCCCCCCACCCCUCGUGCCGUAGAACUGGAACCCUCCGAGGGCAGGCAGGCAGGUGUGGACGCUCCCUUUCGGUCCAAGACCCCGACAAACUGCUUCCUGACUUUUCUUUGUUAGUUACGGGUGCACCUGUUGUUUCUCUAGAAGGCCGCCCGUGGCUGAGAGCGCCGUCCAGGCCCCCGCCCCCCCAGUGCCUCGGUCGGUGUUGGGCCGGAAUGCCAGGCAGACCCGUCCUGGUGAUGGAGGCCAGCUUUGCUUGUCUUCAGCCAAUGGCCGAUGCUGCAGACCUUUGACAAUCCUUCAGCCUAGCCUGGCGAUAGAGCUUCUGGCUUCCUUUUCCCAAUGGACAUAACCUGAACGCGCUACAG
rnacentral:lncRNA from 1 species